rnacentral:rRNA from 1 species
ACCAUGUAGCUGGGCGGCAGGCUACACAUGCAAGUCGAGCGGAACGAGUUAUCUGAACCUUCGGGGAACGAUAACGGCGUCGAGCGGCGGACGGGUGAGUAAUGCCUAGGAAAUUGCCCUGAUGUGGGGGAUAACCAUUGGAAACGAUGGCUAAUACCGCAUAAUGCCUACGGGCCAAAGAGGGGGACCUUCGGGCCUCUCGCGUCAGGGUAUGCCUAGGUGGGAUUAGCUAGUUGGUGAGGUAAUGGCUCACCAAGGCGACGAUCCCUAGCUGGUCUGAGAGGAUGAUCAGCCACACUGGAACUGAGACACGGUCCAGACUCCUACGGGAGGCAGCAGUGGGGAAUAUUGCACAAUGGGCGCAAGCCUGAUGCAGCCAUGCCGCGUGUGUGAAGAAGGCCUUCGGGUUGUAAAGCACUUUCAGUCGUGAGGAAGGUAGUGUAGUUAAUAGCUGCAUUAUUUGACGUUAGCGACAGAAGAAGCACCGGCUAACUCCGUGCCAGCAGCCGCGGUAAUACGGAGGGUGCGAGCGUUAAUCGGAAUUACUGGGCGUAAAGCGCAUGCAGGUGGUUUGUUAAGUCAGAUGUGAAAGCCCGGGGCUCAACCUCGGAAUUGCAUUUGAAACUGGCAGACUAGAGUACUGUAGAGGGGGGUAGAAUUUCAGGUGUAGCGGUGAAAUGCGUAGAGAUCUGAAGGAAUACCGGGUGGCGAAGGCGGCCCCCUGGACAGAUACUGACACUCAGAUGCGAAAGCGUGGGGAGCAAACAGGAUUAGAUACCCUGGGUAGUCCACGCCGUAAACGAUGUCUACUUGGAGGUUGUGGCCUUGAGCCGUGGCUUUCGGAGCUAACGCGUUAAGUAGACCGCCUGGGGGAGUACGGUCGCAAGAUUAAAACUCAAAUGAAUUGACGGAAGGGCGAAUU